CUAGGUCUCAGUUCAGAUUGCAGGCUGCAACCCGCCUGCAUGAAGUCGGAAUCGCUAGUAAUCGCGGAUCAGCAUGCCGCGGUGAAUACGUUCCCGGGCCUUGUACACACCGCCCGUCACACCAUGAGAGUUUGUAACACCCAAAGCCGGUGGGGUAACCUUUUGGAGCCAGCCGUCUAAGGUGGGACAGAUGAUUGGGGUGAAGUCGUAACAAGGUACC
rnacentral:rRNA from 1 species